UACGGAGGGAGCUAGCGUUGUUCGGAAUUACUGGGCGUAAAGCGCGCGUAGGCGGCUUUGUAAGUUAGAGGUGAAAGCCCGGGGCUCAACUCCGGAACUGCCUUUAAGACUGCAUCGCUUGAAUCCGGGAGAGGUGAGUGGAAUUCCCGAGUGUAGAGGUGAAAUUCGUAGAUAUUCGGAAGAACACCAGUGGCGAAGGCGGCUCACUGGACCGGUAUUGACGCUGAGGUGCGAAAGCGUGGGGAGCAAACAGG
rnacentral:rRNA from 1 species